GGAUCCAGACUUUGAUCCUGGCUCAGGACGAACGCUGGCGGCGUGCCUAACACAUGCAAGUCGAACGAAGCACUGUGGAUAGAGACUUCGGUCAAUUGAAGCUUUGACUUAGUGGCGGACGGGUGAGUAACGCGUGAGGAACCUGCCUUUCAGUGGGGGACAACAGUUGGAAACGACUGCUAAUACCGCAUAAUGUGUUUUGGGGGCAUCCCCGGAACACCAAAGAUUUAUUGCUGAAAGAUGGCCUCGCGUCUGAUUAGAUAGUUGGUGGGGUAACGGCCUACCAAGUCGACGAUCAGUAGCCGGACUGAGAGGUUGAACGGCCACAUUGGGACUGAGAUACGGCCCAGACUCCUACGGGAGGCAGCAGUGGGGAAUAUUGGGCAAUGGGGGAAACCCUGACCCAGCAACGCCGCGUGAAGGAAGAAGGCUUUCGGGUUGUAAACUUCUUUUACCAGGGACGAAGGACGUGACGGUACCUGGAGAAAAAGCCACGGCUAACUACGUGCCAGCAGCCGCGGUAAUACGUAGGUGGCAAGCGUUGUCCGGAUUUACUGUGUGUAAAGGGCGUGUAGGCGGGAGAGCAAGUCAGAAGUGAAAUCUAUGGGCUUAACCCAUAAACUGCUUUUGAAACUGUUCUUCUUGAGUAUCGGAGAGGCAGGCGGAAUUCCUAGUGUAGCGGUGAAAUGCGUAGAUAUUAGGAGGAACACCAGUGGCGAAGGCGGCCUGCUGGACGACAACUGACGCUGAGGCGCGAAAGCGUGGGGAGCAAACAGGAUUAGAUACCCUGGUAGUCCACGCUGUAAACGAUGAAUACUAGGUGUGGGAGGACUGACCCCUUCCGUGCCGCAGUUAACACAAUAAGUAUUCCACCUGGGGAGUACGAUCGCAAGAUUGCAACUCAAAUGAAUUGACGG
rnacentral:rRNA from 1 species